GAGAGUAUAGCUUAAUGGUGGAAUGUGUGCUUAACAUGCACUAGGUCCUAGGUUUAAUCCCUGGUACUUCCA
rnacentral:tRNA from 1 species